CCUACGGGAGGCAGCAGUGAGGAAUAUUGGUCAAUGGCCGGAAGCCUGAACCAGCCAAGCCGCGUGAAGGAUGAAGGUGCCAAGCAUUGUAAACUUCUUUUGUCAAGGGACAAAAUCAGGCUCGAGAGCAUGACCGAGGGUACUCGAAGAAAAAGCAUCGGCUAACUCCGUGCCAGCAGCCGCGGUAAUACGGAGGAUGCGAGCGUUAUCCGGAUUUAUUGGGUUUAAAGGGUGCGUAGGCGGGCUGUUAAGUCAGCGGUAAAAGCCCGGGGCUCAACCCCGGCGAGCCGUUGAAACUGGGGGUCUUGAGAUGUCGAGAGGUAUGCGGAAUGCGCAGUGUAGCGGUGAAAUGCAUAGAUAUUACGCAGAACUCCGAUUGCGAAGGCAGCAUACCGGCGGCGAACUGACGCUGAGGCACGAAAGCGUGGGUAUCGAACAGGAUUAGAUACCCCUGUAGUC
rnacentral:rRNA from 1 species